AGGUAGCGAAAUUCCUUGUCGGGUAAGUUCCGACCUGCACGAAUGGUGUAACGAUGGCUAAGCUGUCUCCACCCGAGACUCAGUGAAAUUGAAAUCGCUGUUAAGAUGCAGUGUAUCCGCGGCUAGACGGAAAGACCCCGUGAACCUUUACUACAGCUUCACACUGGACUUUGAUAUUGCUUGUGUAGGAUAGCUGGGAGGCUUUGAAGCGUGGACGCCAGUUCAUGUGGAGCCAACCUUGAAAUACCAGCCUGGCAAUAUUGAGGUUCUAACGCAGGUCCCUUAUCGGGAUCGCGGACCGUGUGUGGUGGGUAGUUUGACUGGGGCGGUCUCCUCCCAAAGAGUAACGGAGGAGCACGAAGGUGGGCUAAGCAUGGUCGGAAAUCAUGCGGUUAGCGUAAAGGUAGAAGCCCGCUUGACUGCGAGACGUACAUGUCGAGCAGGUACGAAAGUAGGUCUUAGUGAUCCGGUGGUUCUGUAUGGAAGGGCCAUCGCUCAACGGAUAAAAGGUACUCCGGGGAUAACAGGCUGAUACCGCCCAAGAGUUCAUAUCGACGGCGGUGUUUGGCACCUCGAUGUCGGCUCAUCACAUCCUGGGGCUGAAGCCGGUCCCAAGGGUAUGGCUGUUCGCCAUUUAAAGUGGUACGCGAGCUGGGUUUAGAACGUCGUGAGACAGUUCGGUCCCUAUCUGCCGUGGGCGUUGGAAAAUUGAGAAGAGCUGCUCCUAGUACGAGAGGACCGGAGUGGACGAACCUCUGGUGUUCGGGUUGUCACGCCAGUGGCAUUGCCCGGUAGCUACGUUCGGACGGGAUAACCGCUGAAAGCAUCUAAGCGGGAAGCCUCCUUCAAGAUGAGUUUUCCCUGUGGCUUUAAGCCACCUGAAGGGCCCUUGAAGACUACAAGGUUGAUAGGCUGGGUGUGUAAGCGUUGUGAGGCGUUGAGCUAACCAGUACUAAUUGCCCGUGAGGCUUGACCAU
rnacentral:rRNA from 1 species